AUUGAACGCUAGCGGGAUGCUUUACACAUGCAAGUCGAACGGAGUGGCGGACGGGUGAGUAAUAUAUCGGCACGUGCCCAGUAGCGGGGGAUAACUACUCGAACGAGUGGCUAAUACCGCCUACUAUUGGAGCGGCCGAUAUCGGGUUAGCUAGGUGGUGGGGGAACGGAUCACGAAGGCAACGAUCCGUAGCUGGUUUGAGAGGACGAACAGGCACACGUGGACGUAGCCAAGGCCCAGCCUCCCACGGGAGGUAGGAGUGGGGAAUUUUGGACAAUGGGGGAAACCCUGAUCCAGCCAUCCCGCGUGUAUGAUGAAGGCCUUCGGGUUGUAAAGUACUUUUGGCAGAGAAGCGGUAUCUGCAGAAUAAGCACCGGCUAACUACGUGCCAGCAGCCGCGGUAAUUC
rnacentral:rRNA from 1 species